rnacentral:SRP_RNA from 1 species
GCUGGGUGCAGUGGCAUGUGCCUGUAGUCCCAGCUACUUGGGAGGCUGAGACAGGAGGAUUGCUUGAGUCCAGGAAUUCUGGGCUCUAGUGCCAUAUGCUGAUCGGGUAUCUGCACUGUUUGGCAUCAAUAUGGUAACCUCCUGGGAGUGGGAGACCACGAGGUUGCUUAAGGAGGGGUGAACCGGUCCAGGUUAGACAUGGAGCAGGUCAAAAGUUAAAAAUCAAAACACCAUGUAUCCAACACUAGUCUUUCACUGAGAUGACUUGGAUUUUAGCUAUACUUAACACUAACUCCCUAUGUCU